CAAAUGAAUGUUGUAAAACAUAACUUUGAUAUUACUAAAAACAGAAGAAUUCUUCCUAGCAGUACAUCAGUCAUAAAACAAAUAACAUUGUCUCCAAUAGAGUGUGCGUUUUUGUGCUCCUUAGAAGAAACUUGUUGCUACGCUAGUUAUGACAGAAUUACAAAUCACUGCUACUUGGAUGGAUCUUGUUGCCCACAAAAUGAGUCGUCAGUGGAUGCACUAAUGUUAAAGAAAAAUACAGGUAAUUUCUUUUUUUUUGACUAGAUUUGGAAACAAUUAUCAUACGUGUUGUUAUACCGGUUAAAGAAAAUGUAAGUAUAAAUAUUUUAACAAUCCCAGUUUUUGUCUUUUAAAUGACUCACGAAAUAGAAAUACAUUCACUGAACUUGAAUUUUUGUAAACUAUUAGAGCCAUAAACGAAUGCAUAUUCAAUUUUUAAUUAUAUGAAACCUUUUUUAAUAUGUUAACUCAAUUAAAAAAUUACCCUUAGGCUUUUUUUAAAUAAAUUGCCUCCAUUUUUUUUACAACUAUCUUAGGUUUUAUAUUUGCAAAAAUAUUAGAAAAUUCUAAAUAAAAAUGCUUAAAAUUUGUCUAUUUACAAAGUAGAUGUAAUCAUCAUGUUUUCGUAGAAAGAUGUCGCUAGUGAUGUGCCAGUUCAAUCACGUUUAAGAUUUUUAAUGCAAAAUAUUUUGAUCAUUGGAAGCCAUAUGUAUGUUUUAGUUUAAUUAAAAUACACUGUAAUGUAGGAAUAUCUAAGACUAAGUGAGCUUUUUUAGUGAAGGAAUUGUCUUUUGAGUUCCUUUUGUUUGUUGUUUUAUUUUUUGCGUUGUUUUAUUAUCUCAAACACUUAGAUAAGCUGUGUAAAAAGGGUAAAACAUGUUAAAAGAACAACAUUUCUUCAUUGUUUUAUAAAUGCAUUAGAGUAAUAUAUGCAUACGGUAAUUUGUUUAUAAAUUAACGUCAGUAAUACUAUUUCGUCGUUUUUAAUUGUUUAAUUCUGCCAGAUAUCAGUUUGUAUCUGUUUGAUUUUUCGGUAAUUACUACAGCAAUGUAGUUAAAUAAUCAAUUCAUAUCCAUUCAAACAUUAUACUAUUGCUUAUUCCAAGUGUGAAUUUGGAAUGAUACCUUUGAUAAAUUGGGCGUUCGUUCGACUAUGUGGGAUGCACAUGCAAGUCCACAGCCACGUCCGGUCAAACUGGGAUGGAAAAUCCAAUGUCUCUUUUAAAGAAAGUGUCAAUAUUUUGCCGUAUUGAAAACCUUCAAACCAUUUUGUUAAGGGUCCAUAGGUGGCCUGAUGCAAUGUAAAUUGUCCUUUUAUCCCAUAUACAAAUGUAUCUUCCUUUUUAAAUGGCAAUGCAGAAUCUACAGACCUUUAUCACUGAAGUUCUCUAUUACACGACCUGUUGUAGUUUUUAAUGAUUUGCUUUUUUCCCUGAACAUGCAUUUAGUAUUUGCCUGUGGACGUUAAACAGCCGACAAUGGAUCAUUAUCGUUUAUUGCUGAAAAAUAUUGAAUUUUACCAGCCACUGGACUGAACUCUCCUCUUAAACGUCUUGUACUACGAACAAUUUGUUUGCCUCAUACCCAAACUUGAUACCUCAAAGUUUUCCUAAAUAAUACACCAAGACAAAUUUUAAACGUCCAUAUGAAUAAAACAGAAGUAAAUCGGUGUUCAAAGUUCGGAAAAUCAACUAUAAAGAGACAACUCAUGGUUACAAAGCCAAUCUGAAGGAAUUACUGAAAUCCGAAAUAAAAAAAAAAAAACAUGUGAGCCCUUAAGUUAAGCGUUUUCUGCAUUUAUACAGCGCCCAUCAUAUACAAAAUUAUUCGUUUUCUCGUUUCAAUUGGUUUAUAUUUUGUGAUUUCGGGGCCUUGUAUAGCAGUUGAAGGUCGUACUGUGACCUUUCCCUGUUAAUUUCGUUGUCAUUUGGUCAUUUGGUCACCUGUGAAGAGUUGUCUUAUUGGCAUAUAUUUAUAAAGUAAAACUGGUAUUCUUUAGAAAAAAAAAUUAUAUCAGAGACAAAUUAAAGCUGCCAUAUAUGACUUCAACAAACUAAUUAAUUUUACAUUUGUCAUUCAACAUCUUAUACUAGACACAACUAGCACUAUAUUCUCAUUUUCUGAUAAAGUAAGAAUUUAAUACAUAAAAUAGUUUAAGCAAAAUGUACAUGUAAAAAGACAACUAUUUGAUCACGUGGGAAAAUCAAUCACGUGACAAUUCAAUCUUUAAAAAAUGUCAAACAUUAAACUUAAUAUGGGGUAUCAUACUUAUAUUUUUUUUUCUAUCUAUAUUAAUAUUACAUUUAGAAUAAAUGUUACGUGUAUGUGUGUGCAUAUAUCAAAUAUAUUAUGUAUAUUCCACCCAAUUAGUGUGUGUAAGAAUUUAUCAAGGUACUAAUUAUUGUUAUCGUCAGUAAUGUGUAUACUUCUUGUUUACCCUAGGGCUUCUGUUUCAAAAUAAAAUAUAUUAUUGAUCGAUUUCUUAUUUCUUUGAAUUGAAUCUGGAACGGAGAUUCAAUGGCUUAACUGGGAUCAAAACAUAUUGCCUUCAUCUUGUCAAAACUUUUCAGUUCUCUUUCAAUAAAUGGCAAUUGCUCUUUUGGGAUCCAAUGUCUAAUUUUGUUUAGACUAGAGGCUCUAAGAAGCCUGUGUCGCUCAACUGAUAUUUUGUUUUACAAUUUAUGCAUAGAUUAAUGCAACCAUUAUACUUUUGCUUUAGUUUCAGAGAUAAAGGCCAACAACUUUACCCUUAUAUUCUAUUUAAGCCAUGUUCGCCAGGUUGUUUGGAAAGCAGGGUCACCAGACACAUAAUUUAUUAGGUACCUCAAUGAUGAUUGAGGCCAAGUUUGGUUCAAUUCGCUCAGUUGUUUUAGAGGGUAAUACUUUUGUAAAAGAAAACAUAAAUUUACAAACAUUGUUAAAAAUUGACUUUUAAGACCAACAACUCUUUAUGGUGUCAACUGACAAUUUUAGUCAUGCUGACUUUUUUGUAGAUAUUACUUUGCGGAACAGUAUUGCUGUUUACAGUUUAUCUCUAUCUAUAAUAAUAUUCAAGAUAACCAAAAACUGCAAAGUUUUCUAAAAAUUACCAAUUCAGGGACAGCAACCUUACAAGAGGUUUUCUGAUUCGUCAUAGAAUACGACAGAUAGGUUUUAACCUGAUAAACAUUAAUACAGAUUCUCAAAUUUGCUCCUAUGCUUUAGUUUCAGAGAUAUAAGUCAAAAACUGUAUUUGACCACUUUGUUUUAUUUUUUGCCAUGUCGGCCAUGUUGGUUGCCAAGUGAGGUCAUCGGACACAUUUAAAAAAAAAAACAAUAUACCUUAAUGAUGAUUGAGAUUAAGUUUGAUUAAAUUUGCUUCAGUAGCUAGUUUCUGAGGGAAAUAUUUGUGUAUGAUUUUUCCGAUUUAUUUUUUGAAACAAUAACUACUCAAGGGGUUCAAUUGACCAUUGUAUUUAUAGAUCUUACUUGGCUGAACAUUAUUGGUGUUUACAGUGUAUCUCAUCUAUAACAUUAUUCAAGAUAACACAAACUGCAAAAUUUUCUACAAGUUACCAAUUCAGGGACAGCAACCAAACAAUGUUUUGUCCGAUUUGUCUGAAAAUUUCAGGGCAGAUAGAUUUUGAACAAUUUUACCUCAGUCAAAUUUGCUCUAAAUGCUCUUGUUUCAGAGAUAUAAUCCAAAUACUGCAUUUUACUCCUUUGUCCAUUUUUAGCCUUGUCGUCAAUAUUGGUUGGUUGGCGGUGUUUUUGAACACAUCUUUAAAAGUGGAAACCCAAGUGAUAAUUUUGGCUAAGUUUGGUUAAGUUUGGCCCAGUAGUUUCAGAGGAUUUUUGUUAAGGGUUACGACGACGGACGACGGACGACGGAAGCCAAGUGAUGAGCCCAAAAUUGAACAAGCACUUUGGAACCAUAGUGGUUCGGUUUGUUCUGUUAAGACAUUCCAAUGUGGUAUUGAAUAUACACCACUUAUCAAUCUCAAAGUAUUAAGAUGUUGACCGAUGUAUUGUCAAUUGGUGGUUAUAGUGAAAACAAUAUUGACCUAUAAGCUGCAAUACUGCGAUAUUGUAAAGAUGACGGAUAAAUGGUUAUCCCUUUAUUUCAUCACCAAUUUAACUUUUUGAAUUGUAAUCCUGUUUAUACCAUAUCUCGAGUAUACCCUGAUUAGCUUUCUAGUGUCUCGUGAAAAGCCUUUGUUUCGGACAUUUCGGUUUAUAAGCAGCCAUUCUGUUUAUGUGAACAUUUCGACAAAUAUAUUCUUCCGAAUUACUAUUAUGCGAGCUGCCCUAGGAACUCUUUUGUGUUUGCUGGUCAUUUCCUACAAGUCGCAAGUUUUGUAACAUAGUCAUAUUGCGCUGUUGCCCCCUCUGUUGUUUACAUGUUGAACUACUGUUGUCUUUUCGCCUAUGAUCAGAAAAUGUUGCCAUCGAUACUUAGGUACAAAAUGUUGAACUUUGAGAAGUACUGCUUCUAACGCUAGAAGAAUAAUGCAAAACAAUUUUUGGGUUUCUGUCAAUGUGCCAAGAAAAACGCAACCUUUUUGUGACCCAAACAACCUAUCUUCACUAGAUACUCGUUUAGGUUUUAAGUGAAUACAGUCCUUGGAUGGUGUAAACUUCCCACUAACACAAUACACCAUAACACCAUACACCAUACACCAUUACACAUUACACCAUGUACCAUUACACCAUACACGUUACACCUUUGCCCCAUAGACCUUACACAUUACACCAUACACCAUUCCUCAUUAUAUCUUCACGAUCCGAAAUUACCCAUGAUGCAAUUAAAUUUCAAAUAUUAAGAUUAUUAUUAUUGUUUAUGUUUACAAUACGAAAAAAUUAAAUAAAAAGAACUUCGUUUUCAACCAAUGAAAUGUCGUACACCAUCAUUCACAACAUUCCCGAUCGCACGUUACGCAAUCACACAAUUCCUCAAACACCAUUACCAUUCUCCUUACGCCAUACACCAUAGCACCAUACACCUUACACCAUUACACCAUAUACCCUACACCAUUACACCAUACACGUUUUUGGGGAAGUCUAUACCAUCCAAGGGCUGUAACUAGUCAAGUCACCAGUUUUACUCGGAACUUAAUAAGGCAUACUGUAAAAGAAACUUUCCUUUAUAAAGCACAUAAAGUAUGGAAACAGGCAAAAUGUGAAAGAGACAAAAACCCAACAUAACACAACAAACACAUCAAAAACAUAAUUCGGUCUUAUUUCAAAGAGAAAAAUUCGCACAUAGAGACAGGAUUUAUCUGACCCUUCAUACUGAUUCAUUAAAUUUUGGAAAGACAGCAUAUUUCAUGAGUAAGAUGGGAAUACUACCUUAUUUUACCUGUCCAAUUGCAAAUGUAUAUAAAAAUCUGUUGACAUAUAAAAAAGAAGAUGUGUUAUGAUUGCCAAUGAGACAACUGUCCACAAGAGACCAAAAUGACACAGAAAUUAACACCUAUAGGUGACCGUACGGCCUUCAACAAUGAGAAAAGCCCAUAGCGCAUACUCAGCUAUAAAAGGCCCUGAAAUGACAAUGUAAAACCAUUCAAACGUGUCUUCUUAAAAAAUCAAUAGAAGCAUGACAAAACCGAGUGAUUUUGAAUGCACUUAUCAUCAGUGUUUAUACUGGCUAUAUAUUUAUCCAUACUUCUCUUAAGUCCUAAAAUUACAGAUGUCCUAAAGAAAAUAAUUAUUUUUGAUAGUUAAGAGGAUAGUUAAGAGAAAGGUUUUAUUUCCGGUUUUUACAAGUUUAAACGCCUAAUCGAAGGUUAUUAAUUUGAUUCGAUAAGGAAUACUAUUGCCAAAAAAUAAUAAUACUGGUCUCUUAAUUCAACAAACGUAUACAAAUUUGUAUGCAAUUUAUUCAACACACAGAGAAAACUACUCUUGAAAUCAGGUUUAAUUUCGCUUAGUUUUUAAUAAAGCAAGCAUGUUUCAACAAAUAACAAAAUGAUGUAUUAAAUGUUAGUAUCCAAACUAAAUCUACCAGUUGACUAUUUUCAAAUUACUUGACUAAUUUUAACAAGUAUUUCAUAAAAUCCCUUGAGAAAUUAAAAAGCAUUUUACAAGUGCUUCAUGCGAUUACAUUUUCACAUACCAUAUCAUAUUUAAGUUGAAAACGAUGGAGCAGUUUACAAUUUGAUAAUUAGCAUGCGUUGUUCAAGUUUUGCAGUUUGAAAAUUGGUUCUAUUAAACUAUUAAUAAUUCAAACAAACAUUGACAAUUUCUAUUUGAUUGACGCGAUUUUAACAAAUAGUUCCUAUAUUUUUUGAAAAAUCAUCGUGUUAAUUAAUCUGAUAUUCCCAGAAGCGCUACAACUCAUUUGCUUAUGGAACAUUUUGUUCUUGUAAUAACUCACUUAUUUAUAUAAAGCUGUGUUAGCUUACAAGUUGUUCUGAAAGAGACUUUUUGACUAAUUACAAAUCAAUAUAUUCCUGUUUGAUUUAUUUUCGUACAGGGAAUUAUUACAUAUAGAUAAAAAAAAAUAUGUUUCAUGGUGUACUUACUUCAUGUUGGUCGCAAUAUAAAAGGUUUCGUCAUAAUAUAUUAUUUACAAACUAUUUCAUCAACUGUAACAACAUCAAACGACCACACAUGCAUCUCGUCAUUAAUUUGUCCUUCUCGUUGAUUUCAACAUUUUAUCAGUUCAAUUAAAGAUUCCAACUAAGUAUUAUCUUUAAAAUACAUCGUAAAAUAUAUGAUAAAAAAUUAAAGGCAAACUAUAGAGCCAGUGUGUAAAGAAGUAUACAAGACUACAUAUACCAUUUAAGUAUUAUAGAAAACUCGCCUAUUAUGAAACAUAACUUUUUUUGAUAUAAUUACAGUAUACACAUUUUAACUUCUAUUCAUCGUAAGUGAACAAGCUUUGUCAAAGCUACGAAUCAUAUUCAUAUAGAUAUAAUAAGGAGUGCCAAUGACACAAAUCUCCAUCUCAAUACAUCUUGUGAAGGUCAACAACUAUCUCUGAAUAAAUUCAUCAUAUACGCACGUUUCGACUUCAAAUGACUCACUAUUGACACUUGAAUAAAACACUUUUUUUUUUAUAGAUAUACAAUAGCUAUCAAAAUGUUGCUUUGUCAGAUGUUGUUUUCCCUGAAAUCGUUAACAAUUGGACACGCUAAAACAUAUGUAUUAACUUACUCAUUUAAACGGUAACUGAAUCUCCUUAUAUAUUUUCGUUUAAUAUCCCUUUCACAAAUUUUAAUGGUAACACUGUAUAUUGUAUAUCGAGAUUUUAAAUGAAAUUGCUUUUUGUAAAUGGCAUGAAAAGAUUCUGUUGUUGGUCACUAGUUUUGUUUGGUGAAUUAUAGACUGCGUGUUUCUCUUUCGAAUGUUGCCAUGGCGUUGUCAGCUUUGUCUUUGACUAUAUUGUGCAGUAUUGCGGAGUAUGUAUGGAACGGAUAUGAACUCUGCGCCGGAGAUUGGUUCAAUUGGUGUCCAUAGAUUAUGUCUGUCAUAUCUGUUUUGUCCGAGCGUUCACAUCGAAAAUUCCAUACUUAAAUGUUAAACAAUAGAGAGAAUUGAAGUCUUAAUUCAACAUUUUUAGAGAUGUAAGUCUAUGAUUUUGAUUUUAGUAUGAAUUAGAAGUUCUCAAAGAUCGGCACUUUGUGUUGUUUUUUCUUUUUAUGUUACAUGUUUAUUAUGUGUCUUCAUGUCCCCAGUACCGACCUGAUAAGUCAAUCCGUUUGUUUAACUAACAUGUUUUCAAUGGCAAUUGAUGUACAAACGAUAGAUAGUUUUUUUUUUUUAGAAAAAUCUAUGUAAUUGAAAUUGGAGAUUUUAUGAUUUUAAGAUAUACUAAAGAGCCUUUUCGCCGAAUGUAUGUACUUUCUAUACAUUUGUCCACUUAUUUUAGAAAUACUUCCAAAUUCAAUCAACAAUAUUUCAGAGUAUAAAGACCUUAAUGUUAAUACAUGAUCAUUUUUCUGUUAUCGUUUAAAGAGCCAAAGAUAUGUGACGAUGUUCACUAAAAUCCGAUUAAAUUGAAGAAACUUUACUGGUAUAGGGAAUAAAUUUUAACCAAACCAUGUCAAAUGGUUAACCAAACCACUUAAAUUUCUGAUAUCAUGCUUAGGUUGUCUUUGACUAAUGAGUUUGAAUAAACCUUCCGUUCCUUCCGCCCCUUUUUUUUCAUGUAGGGGUUAUUGGUUGUGAAUUGGCCUAGAAUAAUGAUCAACUCUAUCACUAGCGUCUCAACACUUAAGUUGUGAUUUGGAAACCUGCUCAUAGCACGGGUGUUUCAUUCCGAUCCUAAUUGAAAAGGAUGGCUGGUUUUACAGCCGUUGUUUAUUAGUUUUUCACGGGUUACCCGGUUACUCAAACAAAAACAAAAUUAGCCGCCGUGAUCACAGUCUAAAAUACUAAAAGUGCGUGAAACACAAGAGGUCAAUAAUUAAUCAAUCUUAUUUCAUUUAAUAGAUUCACUAACUGAAAUCGUAUUCUGUGCAAGCAUGGGCAAAAGAAGAAGACGCCAAAUUUUGUCCAUCUUAUUUCAAAGUUUGUUUACAUUGCUUUGAUUUUAAGUAAGAUAUAUACCUUUUGAGCAAAGGUCUAUGCAAAAUACUUCGAUUCAAAACAAAAUGCUUCCCAGCAAACACAAAACAUUUUACAAACAUUUGUUAAUGUCCUAUGGACAUCUUUCCGAAAACAUUGCAAUAUAGAUCAUUUGAACAUAAAAAAAUAUUUGUUUUAUUGUGUUUGAAAUGUUUUAAUUCUAACAUUUAAAUAAAAUAUUUUUACAACAUUCAAAAAAUAUUAUUUGCUAAUAUCUUAUAUUAGCGUUCUGGAACAUUGUUAUAUUUAAAAAAAAAAAUAUAAUAGUUUCUUCAAUUGAUAUUUCAUAUUGCUACAAUAUUAAAGUAAAUAUUCAAAAAAAAAUCUGCAAAAAGCAGAAAAUUAAGUAUUGAAAUUUGCGUAAAAUUUAUAACGUAAAAUUGAAAUGAAUUACGUUUAACAUCUAAAAUAUAUCAGUUCAAUGUUUUCCAUACAAUAUUUUGAAAUACACUUUAUUAAAUGUUCUUACUGAUAUGUAUUCAACAUUUUAAGGAUAUAUAAUUAACAUUUUAUUUAAACUUAGAUCAAAUCCCAAAGACAACGUUUUAUGGAAUUAGCUAGUUAGUUUUUUCCCUCAGUAUAAGAUAAAAUACACAUUUCUAUCAAUAUCAUCAAGGCAUUACAUAGUAUUAUAUACCUAUAUGGAGCUAUUUUCUUUCAGAACGAUAGGUCAUUCUUCCGACGAAUUAACCCGGACGAUACCAUGUUAAAAUGAAAUAUGAUUCAAGGCAUAACAUAUUGACCUGUUUGAGGUCAUUAUUUUCCUUCAUAUCAAUGCAAACUAUAAUUUACUUUAAAGUUAUAUUCGUCUUCGUUUUUUUGUUGCCUAUUGGGCAUUUAUUUUUUAAAGUUUAAUCUAUGAUAGGUGUAAACAAUUCGUCACAGCCCGCAUUUUAAUUUGAAAAACAGAUAAUGUGAAGUUUAAAUAAUUUAUCGCUUCAAUACAGAGACAUUAUAUGAGAUGAUUUUUAAUGUAAAACUUUCACAACAAUUAAAGAUAGUUUAAUUUGCGACGUAACGCGUCUUCUGAUUGGCUGACGUCGUUUUGUUUAUCAGCCCAUAGACAUAUAUCUGUCUUGGACCUUGACGUCAUCAACGUUUUUUCAUAGUUUACCACAGUUUAGAAUGGAAAUAACAUACAAAAUAUGGUGCACACUGUUAAAAGUCAUUCCUUAAAUAAAGCCAGAUUUAACAUAUUCGUGUGUAAGAUUUUGAAAAUCGUGUUGAUACACGCUGAAUAUAUUGAUUGGAUGAUGGUAGCUUGACGUCCAGGACCAAAUAUAACAUGCAUGUUCAGGACAGAACACACUGACUAGAAAAUCAUACUGUGACCUACAUGUAUUUAUUUUUGUUUUCGUGUAACAUGUACAGGUAUCACAACUUCGUUCCCCAUUUGUGUCUGUUCUUAACUUUUUUACAUUUAUGUAUACCUUUUUCUCUAUCAAAUGAUCAACUAAUAUUUGUUUUCUUAUAUUCUAUUGAAUAACAUUCAUGUACCUCACAAUGGGGUCGGGUGGGGGAGGGUAUAUAAUUUUAUCCUGCUUAUCUGUUAAAAAAUGUACUGCUAUUCAAAAGAAAAUUCUGAAUAUUCCAUUUUAUACAAUUAAAAUCGUUAACAUAGCACACGCCCCACACACACACAUUUCUAUAAUGUAAGUUGGUACAAUAAAAUACUUACAAUGUUUCUUGUAUUUUUCAUACACCGUUAUCGGAUGGUAACAAUUCAGUUGUGUCUUACUCCAUGCAGUUACAGUAAUAUUUUAAUUGUUUAUAGAUAAUAUUUUCUAAAGUUUAUAAUUAGAUUAAUUCGUGAGUUUUAUUUCAUAUUCUAAAAGAGCCGUAGGACGUAUUCAAACCUGAAUGCAUUGGAAAGGAAUAUCCCACUUUAGUGUGGUCGGUAAAAUAGGUUGCUAAAUAUUGCAAAUCUUAUAAUUUUUUUUUAUUUUUAACGGUAUAUAAGUCAGAUAAUGCAUAUUUGUAAUUUUUUCUUGUCGCAGAACACAUCUCGGGUUGUAAGAAUUGCCCAAAGAAAGACCUCACUAUACGGUCGGUCUUUUAUUUGAUCAAUCCUGACAUCCCUCGGUGUGUUUGACGACAAGAAAAAACUCUAAAUAUGCAUAAACUAUAACAUGUACUAUACAAAUCCUUAAUAUCCCAAAGUCAGUUUUGUAAUUCUUUUAAAGUCAAAAUUCAAAAGAGUAGACUUUGAAUUAAGCAAUACUGUAUAGAUAAACAGUUACUUUUCCUAAAUGUUUAUUAAAGGGCAUACGAUACAGUUUUGAUCCCGUAUUUACAUUUUGAUAAACAUUUCCAUAUAGACUAUUUAUUACCUGAUUAAAUCAAAUAUGUAAUAAAAAUUUACCUUCAUGUGCUACUUUUUGAGUAAAACGAGGUCGAUUUUUUGUAAACUUGCUCAAAAUUCGGAUUUGUGGCCGUAUUUUUCCCUUUCGAAGGAAAGACAUAACUAAAAAGACAAACCCAAAUUGUUUUUUGUUAAAUAAUUUGUAAUUUCUGUAUUUUAUUAAGUAUCCUAAAAAGUUAUACAUUUUUUAUUCAGAAAUAACUCAUAUUUAUUAAAUGUUCAUGAAUAUAGGAAAAAAACAUAACUUUUUGCUGUAUAUUUAUCAAAUUUAUAAAAAUUGCACUAUUUACGAUUUUAUGAAAAUUGGCACACAUAAUUUCCCGUGUAAUCAAACCAAAUGGCAUUUAAAAAGAGGGGGAUCCAUGAACUUGUUUUUAAGUUAAAUAAGUUUGAAUGAUAAAUAUCAGUCGAAAACUGAAUCUUUUCCCGAUAAGUCAUAGUUUGACGUCGCGAAAAUAACAAUUUAUUUAGCAACGUCAUUACCUCCCCUGUAAUUGUAUCGUAUGCCCUUAAUUCGUUCGUGUAAAUUUCAGAAAUUAAGAAAUGAAAACUUUUGAUGAAAUGUAACUGUAACUCCAUCUUCUUAUCGUUAUGCAUUACGGAAACCGACCUUAUUUGGAAUUGGUGCAGUAUUCGACUUUUUUGUUUUACUACCGGGAACUAGUUUGCAGAAAUGCAAUUUAAAAUUUUCAAAUUGAACACAAAGAAAGAACAAAUCAACAAAGAGAGCGAAGACAAUUGUUUGCUAAGAAGAAUUAAACUUUUGGGAUGAAACAUUUGUAUUCAUUUUGUGUUUCGAUCAUUAUCGGAACCAAUACCAGGAUUUUGAAAAAAAGGUGCGUCCUGGCAAUCAAACGUUUGAAGUGAUACUUGUAAAAAGUUAUGCAUCUAUCUUAUAUGUCGCUCCAUGAGGGAGGUUUGGGCAUCUAAAUCAUCCGCUGUUUUAGCAUCUGCAUGUAUUUGUUUGCCCAGAAUUAGUGGCGAGGACAGAACAAUUUUAAAAUUAAUUAAAAUAAAACAAAAAAUACACUAAUUGUAAAAAAAAAAAAACAUUUUGCUAGCGGUAUAAUGUAAAAUCAUGCAUGCAAAGAUUUCCUUUCAAAACAAUAAAUGAACGUUCCCUUAAUAAAUAGUAUUUCAAGGACUAUUUAAGACUUCAGUUAUAAGCAAGUUAAUAUAAACUGAUGAUAAGAACUAUAUGCAUGCAUUGAUUCAUACACAAAAUUUAAUUUACAAUUUUGCAAGUGGCGCAAGUACUCUGGAAUGUCAACAACCAAUCAGCAGUAAAAAAAGUACGAUUUUCAUACAGGAUGACUGUCUUUUCAUAUUUACUUUGACGACUUAGUAAAGACUAGGCAUACAGUACAGAAAAAAUAUCUGUAUUUUUAAUUAAAUUAUUGUUUAGUAUAAAUAAAAACAAGUUGUUAUUUUAGAUCAUUCUUUUAGUCUGCUUUCACAAACACGUAACUAUUUGAUUUCCUUUGAAAAUGAUCUCAAAUACAGACAACCGAUUUGAUGGAAUCUACGUGUUCCCCGGAAGUUAGAGUUAUAUUAUAUGCAACAUCAUGAAACCAAUGUAUAACACUUACUUGUACUGUAUUGUAUCUCACACUACAGAUUUUAACACUUAAAAAGGACAAUAAGACGUUAAAUGUAUUAGGCUUUUAAAGUCCCUACAUGAUACAACGUAUAAUGGAAAAAGCACUAUAAAAUAAUUACUCGUUAAAAGUGUUCAUGAUAAAUUAAUUUCUAGAAUAAAAAAAACAACACUUCAAGUACUCGCAAAACAGGGUGUUUACAGGCAGACAAAUCACAUAAUUAUGUAGUGAUGGUGUGACACAUAUACUACACGGCAGUUCUCCGAAACAAAAUUGUCAAUUAUUCAACAUUCAGGUCUGUACGAUACAUUUACAGUAAAACUGUAAACAAGCAUAUCACUGCCACUACCAAGCUGAAAUACUCUUCCAAACAUUUGAAGGUCCCAACUAUGUAUUGCCAAUCUUCAUUGCACAAAGAGCCGUUUAAAUUCUGUUUCUAUUCUGCAUCUAGUAGAUGUUCUACUAAUGAUAUAUCAAUGCUUCUAACUGCAUGCAUGUAUCUUACAAGUAUCACAGAACUUGUUAUUAAACUUAUACAUCCUUCUGAUUUCAAAUGUUCGGCUUUGAGUGUUCUGAUGAAGGUAAAUCCAGAAAAGCGCCUCGGAUGAAUGACAUUAUUUAGCGUGUUGUUUUCAAUUGAUUGCCUUUUGUUAUAAAGCUUAUGAAAAUAGUAGUAUUAGCUUUUUUUUUGGAAAGUUAGUAAACAAAUCUAGUUUUUAGAUAAAGUACAUGUUUAUGAUGGUCCUUUUAGUUCUUUUGAUAUUUAUUAUUUUUCUACUUUCUACACCACAUCUCCAAACAAGAAAAAGUUAACGUAUUCAAUGUUAUGUUGUUUUGAAAAAUUUCAUCGCAAAUGUAUUUACUGUUACUCGUUUAAAGCCUUUUGUAUAUUACGAAAAAGGAAAGUAUGCCAGCGACACUUACUUAAAAUUUGAAAAUGUGAUUUAAGUUUUUUUAAAUGUUCUCCUGGACAACUUAUAUGUACGUUACGGCGAUAAAGUGCCUCGACAGGUAGUAGGUAUUUGUAUUGACAAUACUUGUGCCCUUUUAAUAGCAGAUUUGCUACUGUAUUGCUAUGAAUCUCAUUGUAUGACGAAACUCAGUAAAGACACAAUUGUUACAUUUGAUACAUUCAACAAGACCAACUGUUAUCUUGAUAAUAGUUUUUUCGUUUAAUAAUCCAGUGUUCUUUAAAAGAGGGACGAAAAAUACUAAAGGGACAGUCAAACUCAUGAAUCAAAAAUAAACUGACAGCACUAUGGCUAAAAAUGAAAGACAAACAGACAGACAAUAGUACACAUGACACAACAUAGAAAACUAAAAAUAAAGCAACACGAACCCAUCAAAAAUUGGGGGUGAUCUCAGGUGCUCCGGAAUGGUAAGCAAAUCCUGCUCCAUAUGUGACACCCGUUGUGUUGCUUAUGUGAUAACAAAUCAUGUAAGUAGUCUAAUUCGGAAGGUCACAUUCAUGAAAGGGAAAGGGAUUGUAGUUGCGACGUAAGGAACAUAACGGAUAUCUUUUGUGAAACGGUUAUUCCAUAACGGUCAACCAACUCGUGAUGGCGUCCGUACAAUUUACGAAGGGAUGAUUUCAACUUCACCAUUUGGAACUCUUGGUUUAACAGUUUCCUUGUGGGCAGCAACCCUCUAUCAAGAAAAUCAUGAUAGGAAGUGCAAGCACGGGAAAAUCGUAUCAAUUGGGAAAUACAUAUCCCGUAUGCAGGAAUGUGGUUACUUAGAAAUGGAAAGUUCACAAUUGAAAAGCUGAAAUCAUCUCUUUUGUCGUAAAGUUUUGUUUUCAACCGACCCUCAUAAUCAAUUUCUAAAUGUAAGCCAAGACAUGAGGCCGACUAAACUGUAUCUGUAGUAUCCUGUAUCUCUAGUUCGAUGGGAUAGAUCCGUUCAACAUAGUCACCAAAUUUUGAAUUAUUUAGUGAAAGAACAUCAUCUUUAUAGCGGAAAGUAGAGUUAAAGGAUACUGCUAACUUCUUAUCUUUCUUCCUCAGAAGUUCUUGUAUGAAGUAAGCCUUAUAAUAAUAAUACGCCAGACGCGCGUUUCGUCUAUAUAAGACUAUCAGUGACACUCAGAUCAAAAUGAUUAUAAAGCCAAAAAAGUUAAAGAGCAUUGAGGACCCAAAUUUCAAAAAGUUGUGCUAAAUACGGCUAAGGUAAUUUAUUCCUGGAAUAAGAAAAUAUAUUGUUAUUAAAGCUUGUAAAUUCACCGUUCCUUCAAACAAACUUAUUAGUAAAGGUUAUUUUACCAAUGUUUUAAUUAGAUCUUUGAAUAUAGUUUAUUUUGGCAAAUUUAUCGAUUUUUUUUUCAUCAGCAAAUUAAUACAUGACAAAAUAUGUAUUCUUUUCAAACGAUAUAAAUAAAUACACUCACGGUAAUUCUUUUAUAUAUAACUAACUCGGAACAUUCCCACUGCACGUCAAUACUUUAAAUUUUUGGCAUUGCAAAAGUCUUCUUUGACUGUCAAUGACGUUAAAAAACUAAAUUCCGGGGAUGUGGUUAAGUAUAUUUUAGACUCUGAUGCAUGAUUUUUUUUUAUUAUUAAUUGUUUUUGGCUAUUAACUAGCUUUCAGUAAUUGCGAGUGCUCUCAAAUCGUACUUUCGUGUUAAUUUGUAAUUUAAAGUUAUAUCUCGGUUCUUUAUUUUUAAUAUAUACCAGCUUUGAUGAUUGUUUGAUGAUUGUUUGGUACACAAAUACAUUUUCACUCCUGGGAUCUGUUGUUCAACUUGUGUUUAAACUUAUCAUAUGAUUAAGUUUAACGAGUCAUUAAAAGUUAUCGCAUGGUUAGUAAAUACUAUGAUUAAAUUGUGAUGAUUAACUUAUUUUGAUUAUUGUAUUUACUAAUCACUGUAUUAAUUGUAAUCAUAUGAUUAAGUGUGUGUAGUUAGCAAGUGUUUCCAAUAAUGCAUUGUAAAUCAGGGCCUAUAUAACUAACUUCCCGUUCUGAUUUAAAUUAUAGCAUUCUACUUUAAACCAGUUUUUGGAUGCUAAUAAUUAUUGAAUAAAUAUCUUAUAAUAUGUUUAUAUUUUUUGAUGGAAAAAUAUUCAUAUUUUAGAUAUCUUUCCCAGUUCAAAAUGAAAUGUAAUGAAUGGAAAAGUAAUUUCAGUGAAUGCACUGAGAAAGUAAUAUGCAUUUAUCUACCUAGUCCAAAUAAUUAUGACGUCCUGAAAGGUUGUUCUAUUAUUUUAUUCUUUGAUGCCUUACAUCGCGUCAAAGCAAACUUUUAAAAUAGCCUUCCAGAGCGUCAUUAUUAUUUGGACUAUUAUUUACCAUGCAAAUGAUUAAGGGUGCAUUUUGUAAUAAUCAACAUUUGCAUUCCACUUUAAAUUGUGACUAGGGCCAGAGUUUUUUAUGUGUUUGCUAAUAAAGCUUUGUAUAGAUCUGAAAUAGUUUUAUGAUGCAUCAUAUCAAACUCCGGACAGUGAUCGUUUCCGUUCCGGAACUAUUUUCCUUUACUCCAUCAAUGGCUUCAUAUAUGACUGUUGUUAUUCAGAAUCAACAAUGUCAGUGAUUGUCUAUGGUCCUCAAUACAAGUGCAUCAUUCCUGGCCAUGAUUUUCAUGGAAUUUGAUGUCCGACGACGACAACAACACAUUGUCAGCAAUAGCAAUGAUGAUUUAAAGUGUUUGUUUUUACAUAUCCACAUCAUAGUGAUUCAUUCAAAUACCUAUAAUAUCUGUUGUUAUAUUAGUCCAACAUUCUAACCAUGCGAACGAUAGGCUUUGGUUUAUAAAUGACGAAAUUAUUGGGAUUAAAAUGCAUGAAUUAUUGCUUAUGGCAAAUAGGGACACAUAGGGCCUAUGUCACUGGGACUGAUGUCUGAAAAGUGAUAAAAUGUGUUUCUUUAAUUUUUUUGCACAUGUUUACAGUAUCAACUAUAUUUAAUAAGAUUAUUUUAAUAAUAUCCACAUGUAAAUAACAGCAUAUGGUGCAUGAUUUAACAAAAGUUUGUUCAUUAUAGUGUCAAACAAAGGGACGUAACUCGUGAAUUACCGUCGGCCCCGCUUCCUCAGAAAUAUCGAUACAUCGAAGUGGCACAUUUGCGAAUCUGAGCGUAUCAAGUGGCACAAAUUUGAAAUAGCAUAGUCCAAGUAUGUUACAUACCAUAAUUUAAAUUCAGCAUAGCUUCCCGAGAAGUUAAGAAAGAAAAUUACGAUUUUAAUUUUCUGUGACCAAUUUUUUCGCCAAAACCUUGAAUUUGGAGACCAUUUUCAGAGAAAAAAAUGAGUUAAUCCAUAAUGAAAUGAGUUUAUAUUUUUUUAUAUACUCAAGAAUGUUCACUGAAAAGGAAUUAGUUUAAUUCAUGCAAAAAACUACAAAUUCCAAAAAACAGGCUUCACGUUUUUUUGUAAACAAAAUGCCCAUAUAUGGUAAUCAGAUGACGUCCAUUAUUGCUUUAAGAAAUUGGGUGAAACCGGGUCAGCUUUCCGACUGUUUGAUUACAUUAAAAGCAUGAUUUUGAUAUUUUAAAGGAGAACAAAGAAACGUAGGAAAUCGUUUUAUGACCCCAUCAAGCUGUCUUAAACUCUCGGUGUCCUCGAAUAUAAACCCUUAUCAAUGCUUGUAGUAAGUUGCAUAUUUGUCUUUAUGAUAUAUAGGUUUUUAUCAAAAAAACGACAUCAAAAAUUGAUGUUUUCUAUCUUAUAUUUCUAAAAACAAAAACAAACCCCGAUGAUUCUUGAAACAUUUAGAAAUAUAUAAAUAGAAAUAAAUAUGGAAAGCCCAUGAAACAGAAAUAUAUAGCGAAAACCUACCUAACACCGCUUAAAUGACGGUCAGACCCCCUGUUCUUUCAAUGUACAUAAAAUUAGACGAAUUCAUAGACUCUGUAUAUAUAUCAAGAUUGUAUCAAAAGGAUUUCCGAGAAAAAUGUCAUCUUCGAUUGAGAGAUCAGGGGGCUAUCACCAUUGCCUUGUGCCCUUUGUCCUAAAAUUUUGAUAUUUUUUUAGCUGGAAAGUGACAAUAUAAGCCCUCCAUAGAUAUCGAAUAGGACAUUAUUCUGGGAAAUCCUUCUAAUACAAUCUUUAUAUGUACAGAGUCUAUGAUUUAAUUAAAUUUUAUGGACAUUGAAAGACCAAGGGUCUACCCUCAUUUAAGCGGUCUCAGAUAGGUUUUCACUAUAUAUUUGGAAUAUCCAACUAGCACUUUGGGCGCGCCGUAAACAUGAAAGACAGGAAUUGUACCCUAAUUGCUUUGAGUCACGUUUGUAUCUACCUAGUGACUUAAUAUCUGCUUAAUUUUAGGCAGAUUGAGAGAUCAGGGGGCUAUCACUAUUACCCUGUGCCCUUUGUCCUAAAAUUUUGAUAAAUUUUUGCUGAAAAGUGACAAUAUAAGCCCUCCAUAGUUUCGAACAUGACAUUAUUCUGGGAAAUCCUUCUAGUCUAAUCUUUAUAUAUACAUAGUCUAUGAUUUAGUCAAAUUUUAUGGACAUUGAAAGACCAGGGGGUCUCACCUUCAUUUAAGCGGUCUCAGAUAGGAUUUCACUAUAUAUUUUGAAUAUUCAACUGGCAUUUUGGGCGCUCCGUAAACAUGAAAGACAGGAAGUGUACCCGAAUUCCUUUGAGUCACGUUUGUAUCAACCUAAUGACUAAAUAUCUGCUUAAUAAUAGGCUGAUUGAGAGAUCAGUGGGCUAUCACCAUUGCCCUGAGGCUGUGCCCUUUGUCCUAAAAUUUUGAUAAUUAUGUUUUAGCUGAAAAGUGACAAUAUAAGCCUUCCAUAGAUAUCGAAUAUGACAUUAUUCUUGGAAAUCCUUCUAAUACAAUCUUUAUAUGUACAGAGCCUAUGAUUUAAUUAAAUUUUAUGGACAUUAAAAGACCAGGGGGUCUCACCCUCUUUUGAGCGGUCUCAGGUAGGGUUUCACUAUAUAUUUCUUUUUUGGGCAUUCCAUAAAUAUUUCUUUUUAUAUAUUCCAAAAUGUUUUCUAGAGUUAGCGGUUUUUGUUUUUGUUUUUAAGAAACAUCAUUCAAUUUAUAAAAGUACAUCUUUGAAGCUUUUUUAUUGACAGUAAAUUAUAUUACAUAAAGACAAAUUUGCAAGUUAGAAAAGGGUUUAUUGAAGAGGUCAUGAAAUAAUUUUUUACGUAUCUUAUCAGAUUUAAACUAUAAAAAUCAUGCUUUUGAUGUUAUUAAGUUGUUUUUUUUAUGAUUUUUAACUUAAUUUUGAAUAUCCAACUGACUGCUAGCAGCCGGUUUGAUAUUGAAUAUUGAAUAUCGAAUAACGUACCGGCUGCUAACUUCACAUACAUUCAGAGAACCUUAAAGUUUUCAAUGAUUUUUUAAAACUUAAAUAACGACUUGUAAGUGACAUAUCGACAAUACCCUGUCCCCCAUAAAACCAUAGUAAAGAUCAACUAAGCAAUCUGACAGUAGUAUACAUCUUGGGUAUCCGAUAUUCACGUGGGAUGGGGGAGGGGGUUGUAAAUAUCAUAGUAAAAAGAAAGACAAGAAGAUGUACUAUAAUUGCAAACGAGAUAAUUCCCUGUUGGUGACCAAUUGAUGUAGAAGUUUACGGAUUAAAGUCACCGUACGGCCUUCAACAACGAGCAAAACCAUUAUAAAAUAAUAAACUAUGUAUGGUAAAGAUAUGAAAAACCACGGUAGUAAUUUAAUCAAGAAAUCUAAAGGCCUUAUCUAUGUAAAAAGCUAUGAACGUAAAACAAUGUUAUAUUUGUUAUUCUCGUUGGAUUUUGUCUGAUGCUUGGUCCGUUUCUGUGUGUGUACCUGUAGUUUGUGUCGUUGUUCUCCUCUUAUAUUUAAUGUGUCCUCAUUUUAGUUGUUACCCGAUUUUUUUUGUCCAUGGAUUUAUGAGUUUGAACAGCGGUAUAUAUAGCAAAACAUGCAACAACUGAAUUACAGCCAUAUCCAAAAAGUCGAUUUAUGGUAUACAAGUAUGAUUAGUUGGUUCCUUUUGUGCGGUCUCUCAUUUACACUAGUAAUUUUAUGUCGCCUUUAUAGCGUGCUGUUCGAUGUGAUCCAAGGCUCCGUACUUUGACCUACAAUAGUUUACUUUUACUAAUUGUGACUUGGGUGCAGAGUUGUCUCAUUGGCACUCAUACCACAUCUUCUUAUACCUAUUGGGUAGCAUCAUGUGUAUUAUUUGUGUAUAAUACAAAGAUCAAACUUCACUGGAAAAUAAGACUUUGAAAUAAACAUAUGGAAAUAAGGCACGAUUGCAACAAGACAAAUAGCCGCCUAAGUUCAAACAAAGUGUAUGAAAGCAAAUAGACAAUUGGACGGCCUUAGCAAUGAGAGACACAUAGACCGUAUAGUCAGCAAUAAAAGGCCCCAACAUACAAAGGUCAAAUUAUCAAAAAAAAAAAUAGUACAAGACAAUAAAUAUACCGACAUGAAUUGACGACAACCACUUAACUCCAGGCUUCUGACUUGAGUAGGCACAUUAUUGUGUUUUUGUCCUUUUUUGCACAAUUUUAAAACAUAAACACAUGUUUUCUGUCUAAAACACAUUACGUUGUAGAAUUUCUGUAAAUAAAUUAUAGAAAAAAAAACCUUUUGAUUACCAGAUACCCUAUAACGUUUACUAACUCAAACGAGUUGCAAAUCACGCAUUAGUCACUGAAUCGCAUUCUAGAUAUUCAUUCAAAAAACGUAAAACAUUGUUUUUAUUUUUAUUUAGCCAUAUGACCACCUCUUGCUAUACGUUGAUUAUUUAUUAUCAAUUUUCAGAUUCACUUCAAUGCCAAAACGGAUGGUUAAGAAACGAAAACAAAUGCUAUUACUUCAGCG
rnacentral:lncRNA from 1 species